rnacentral:rRNA from 1 species
GACGAACGCUGGCGGCGUGCUUAACACAUGCAAGUCGAACGGAAAGGCCCCUUUGGGGGUACUCGAGUGGCGAACGGGUGAGUAACACGUGAGUAACCUGCCCUUGACUUCGGGAUAACUUCAGGAAACUGGGGCUAAUACCGGAUAGGAAUCCUUGCUGCAUGGUGGGGGUUGGAAAGCUUCGGCGGUUUUGGAUGGACUCGCGGCUUAUCAGCUUGUUGGUGGGGUAGUGGCUUACCAAGGCUUUGACGGGUAGCCGGCCUGAGAGGGCGACCGGCCACAUUGGGACUGAGAUACGGCCCAGACUCCUACGGGAGGCAGCAGGGGGGAAUAUUGCACAAGGGGCGGAAGCCGGAUGCAGCAACGCCGCGUGCGGGAGGACGGCCUUCGGGUUGGAAACCGCUUUCAGCAGGGGCGAAGCUUGUGGUGACGGUACCUGCAGAAGAAGCACCGGCUAACUACGUG